rnacentral:rRNA from 1 species
UUGACCCUACGGGAGGCAGCAGUGGGGAAUAUUGCACAAUGGGGGAAACCCUGAUGCAGCGACGCCGCGUGAGCGAUGAAGUAUUUCGGUAUGUAAAGCUCUAUCAGCAGGGAAGAAAAUGACGGUACCUGACUAAGAAGCCCCGGCUAACUACGUGCCAGCAGCCGCGGUAAUACGUAGGGGGCAAGCGUUAUCCGGAUUUACUGGGUGUAAAGGGCGUGUAGGCGGGCAUGCAAGCCAGAAGUGAAAUCUGGGGGCUUAACCCCCAAACUGCUUUUGGAACUGCGUGUCUUGAGUGAUGGAGG